UCUAGUGCCAGUCUCCUGACUCAAUCCAACAAAAUGACGUCAACGACAUCGCAGACAAAGUGCACCGACUUCGAGGGGACUUGGUCAGAGGCAUGUCCACAGUUGCUUUGAGCAAAGAGCUUUAUUCCAUAGCAACAGCCAUUGACAAAUGGUAUCCAUACUCUC
rnacentral:sRNA from 1 species